UACGUAGGGGGCUAGCGUUGUCCGGAAUCAUUGGGCGUAAAGCGCGUGUAGGCGGCCCGGUAAGUCCGCUGUGAAAGUCGGGGGCUCAACCCUCGAAAGCCGGUGGAUACUGUCGGGCUCGAGUACGGAAGAGGCGAGUGGAAUUCCUGGUGUAGCGGUGAAAUGCGCAGAUAUCAGGAGGAACACCGAUGGCGAAGGCAGGUCUCUGGGCCACUACUGACGCUGAGAAGCGAAAGCAUGGGGAGCGAACAGG
rnacentral:rRNA from 1 species